GACGAACGCUGGCAGCGUGCCUAAUACAUGCAAGUAGAACGCUGAAGAGAGGAGCUUGCUCUUCUUGGAUGAGUUGCGAACGGGUGAGUAACGCGUAGGUAACCUGCCUUGUAGCGGGGGAUAACUAUUGGAAACGAUAGCUAAUACCGCAUAACAAUGGAUGACACAUGUCAUUUAUUUGAAAGGGGCAAUUGCUCCACUACAAGAUGGACCUGCGUUGUAUUAGCUAGUAGGUGAGGUAAUGGCUCACCUAGGCGACGAUACAUAGCCGACCUGAGAGGGUGAUCGGCCACACUGGGACUGAGACACGGCCCAGACUCCUACGGGAGGCAGCAGUAGGGAAUCUUCGGCAAUGGGGGCAACCCUGACCGAGCAACGCCGCGUGAGUGAAGAAGGUUUUCGGAUCGUAAAGCUCGGUUGUAAGUCAAGAACGGGUGUGAGAGUGGAAAGUUCACACUGUGACGGUAGCUUACCAGAAAGGGACGGCUAACUACGUG
rnacentral:rRNA from 1 species